AACCAGGACCCUUCACUCGCACACACACACCAGCACAGUGACACCUCGAACAGGAAGAGAGACGACAAGAACAAUGACAGGAAGUACUGCAGUUCAACUCAAUCAGCCAAACACUGAGCGCACAAACUACACUACCCAUGAUGCAACAGUCCCAGUACCAGUUUUAUCAUUUGGUUCAUCUGUGAUUAUUAUCACUAUGGUGGCUUUGGUUUUACUUCUGUUAGGACUUCCAUUGAUUAUAG